rnacentral:misc_RNA from 1 species
GAUGAAGAACGCAGCGAAACGCGAUAUGUAAUGUGAAUUGCAGAAUUCAGUGAAUCAUCGAAUCUUUGAACGCACAUGGCGCCUUCCAGUAUCCUGGGAGGCAUGCCUGUCCGAGCGUCGUUUCAACCCUCGAGCCCCCGUGGCCCGGCGUUGGGGAUCUGCCCAGGCAGUCCCCGAAAACCAGUGGCGGACCCGUUACAGGCCCUUCCCUUGCGUAGUAGCAUUCGCCUCGCAUCGGGAGCCGGCGGGCUUCCAGCCUCUAAACCCCCAUCAAGUCCGCCCCGGUGGCACCAAGGUUGACCUCGGAUCAGGUAGGAAUACCCGCUGAACUUAAGCAUAUCAAUAAGCGGAGGA